AGAGAGAAGGGGGAGUUGGGUCAGGGGGCAAAAGUAGAAGAUUGAAGGAUUAUUUCUAUGGUUGUGAGUGAGUUUGUGCAUAGAGGAAUUGUGAGUGUGUGUGUCUGUUGAAGGAACUGAGGAAGAGGGUUCAAGUUCUUCGGACCCUGAUGAGAUCUCUAUCAUACUUACGUAUAUGUGUAUGUGGA